UCUGUCUCGGUGGUGCGUCAGACAUCGUCGGAGGGCGUGAGGUGUGUCUCCGAUGGAUCUCAUGGAAUUCAGUCGGUGUUUGUGUUUGGUGGAUCCACAUGGAUUUGGUCUUCAUUCAUUUGCGUUCGUGUGUCUACGGAUUGGAACCUUCUGAUCUAGGCUUCUCUUCAUCGACGACGUUUGUUGUUCUGGUUCUUUGGGGCCUUAGCACGCCGACUUCCUGGUUGUCUACCACAACAAGGCUUGCUCGGCUCCUGCGAAGGAGCAAUGAUGAUGGCGGCGUGCAUUUGUCUCGCUUCAGUGUUUGUAUUCCUCGGUAGGUGGUCUACGGACAUUGCUGUAAUUUUUAUUACUUUUGAUGAAUAAAUU
rnacentral:lncRNA from 1 species